ensembl:lncRNA
CGGACGCCCGCGCAUGCUCACGACCACCUGGUUCGCCUGGCGCCGUACCGAGACUGUUUACAAUUUCCUCAAAAUCGUUACAACCAGGGAAGCUUGGGGCUGUCCGGGGGUGAACCUUGGCUCUCUUGGAAACCAAAAAGAGGUCACGGCCCACGGCUAGAUCCACCUGAGAAGAACUUUGCCAGAAUCCUGCUGAGGGGAGCAAGCCCUUUAGUAUGAAAAGCACAAGCCUAACCAUUAUAUCUUAUUAAUGCACAGGGACAGUGAAGGUUUUAGAUUUUACCUGGUAUGUAAGUUAUUCCAGUAUGCCAGGAACGGGCAUAACUCUUUUUGGCCAUCAGGGGUCCUAGGUAAUUCCUAAUAAGAAAUCACCCCCGGAAGGGAAGGUCUGUCUACAAGAACUGAAGGACCUGAGAGCUGCCCCUAACUCACCAGCCAGGUUUCCAGCUCUAUGUUAGGAGGCCGGCCCAUCCGUGUACAAAGCUUCUCUCAUUUAAAAAUCUCACUUAACAGCAAGUCACUUUCAAUCCUGUGAAGAGUGUUAACUUGGAUCGCAAGGACACCAUAUUCAUUGGUCAUAAUACAUGACUACCUACUGUGUGCCAAGUACUGUGAUUAGCAGAAGACUAAGGUAGGGUCCUUCCCACGAGGAGUUUACAGUCUAGAGGGAGGGCCGUAUUUCACCUGCCUCGCUGUGAUGCUCCUCAGAAGCCCAAGCAGAAUUCUGAGUAGGAGCUCAAUCAACACUGGUGAUUAAACCAAGGGCGGGCUUUUCUGUGCCAAGCAGGAUCACUUCUCUCAGAGCACAAAGGGCAGCCCCUGAAUCCAAGCAGCUUCACCCUUCCCUUCCC